UACAGAGGGGGCGAGCGUUGUUCGGAAUUACUGGGCGUAAAGGGCUCGUAGGCGCCAACUAAGUCAGACGUGAAAUCCCUCGGCUUAACCGGGGAACUGCGUCUGAUACUGGUUGGCUUGAAUCCGGGAGAGGGAUGUGGAAUUCCAGGUGUAGCGGUGAAAUGCGUAGAUAUCUGGAGGAACACCGGUGGCGAAGGCGGCAUCCUGGACCGGUAUUGACGCUGAGGAGCGAAAGCCAGGGGAGCAAACGGG
rnacentral:rRNA from 1 species